ensembl:misc_RNA Metazoa_SRP Metazoan signal recognition particle RNA
GCCAGGCAUAUGGUGUUAUGCACCUAUAGUUUCAGCUACUCAAAAGGGUGAGGCAGGAGCAUCACUUGAGCCCACGAGUUCUGGGCUAUCAUGGACUAUGCCAACUCAGUGUCUGCACUAAUUUAGGCAUCAACAUGGUGACCUCCCAGACAUGGGGGACCACCAGGUUGCCAAAGGAGGAGGGGUGAACCUGUCCAAGUUGGAAACAGAGCAGGUCAGCACUCCUGUGCUGAUCAGUAGUGGCAUUACAUCCAGCCCCUGCACUUCAGUGUGGGCAACAUAGCAAAACACC